rnacentral:rRNA from 1 species
AACGAACGCUGGCGGCAUGCCUAACACAUGCAAGUCGAACGAGACCUUCGGGUCUAGUGGCGCACGGGUGCGUAACGCGUGGGAACCUGCCCUUAGGUUCGGAAUAACUCCCCGAAAGGGGUGCUAAUACCGGAUAAUGUCUUCGGACCAAAGAUUUAUCGCCUUUGGAUGGGCCCGCGUUGGAUUAGCUAGUUGGUAGGGUAAAAGCCUACCAAGGCGACGAUCCAUAGCUGGUCUGAGAGGAUGAUCAGCCACACUGGGACUGAGACACGGCCCAGACUCCGACGGGAGGCAGCAGGGGGGAAUAUUGGACAAUGGGCGAAAGCCUGAUCCAGCAAGGCCGCGUGAGUGAUGAAGGCCUUAGGGUUGUAAAGCUCUUUUACCCGGGAUGAUAAGGACAGUACCGGGAGAAUAGGCUCCGGCUAACUCCGU